AAUAUCAAAGGUGAGCCAGUACAGGAUGGACCCGCGUCUGAUUAGCUAGUUGGUAAGGUAACGGCUUACCAAGGCGACGAUCAGUAGCCGACCUGAGAGGGUGAUCGGCCACAUUGGAACUGAGACACGGUCCAAACUCCUACGGGAGGCAGCAGUGGGGAAUAUUGCACAAUGGGCGAAAGCCUGAUGCAGCAACGCCGCGUGAGUGAUGAAGGCCUUCGGGUCGUAAAACUCUGUCCUCAAGGAAGAUAAUGACGGUACUUGAGGAGGAAGCCCCGGCUAACUACGUGCCAGCAGCCGCGGUAAUACGUAGGGGGCUAGCGUUAUCCGGAUUUACUGGGCGUAAAGGGUGCGUAGGCGGUCUUUCAAGUCAGGAGUGAAAGGCUACGGCUCAACCGUAGUAAGCUCUUGAAACUGGGAGACUUGAGUGCAGGAGAGGAGAGUGGAAUUCCUAGUGUAGCGGUGAAAUGCGUAGAUAUUAGGAGGAACACCAGUUGCGAAGGCGGCUCUCUGGACUGUAACUGACGCUGAGGCACGAAAGCGUGGGGAGCAAACAGGAUUAGAUACCCUGGUAGUCCACGCUGUAAACGAUGAGUACUAGGUGUCGGGGGUUACCCCCUUCGGUGCCGCAGCUAACG
rnacentral:rRNA from 1 species